UGCUAAAAAAAUAGUAUUUGUAAAACAAAGUAUAUAUUUUGUUAUUGAAGGUAGCAAACUAAACCAAAAAUAUUUCAAACGUAAUCAAAACUAAUGAUAGAUAGAUACUGCAGAUAUAAAUUUUAUUUGUAAUUAUGAUUGCAUGAAAGUCACACUGCUUCCCUGAAAGUAGAGUCUUUGACCCAAAUCACCUCUUCAUUCCAAACUUGGUGGGCCAAUAGUAGGGAGAGACCCUUAAAUCAUUUUUUUAAAAUAAUCAUUAGCUCAUUUGCAGUGGUACUUUUGGGACAAUCCCAGAAUAACUCUCCGUAAAUAGUAAGUAAGACUUCCAAUCCUCCAACUCUUGGCAGGUAAGCAUGUUGGGUUAACUGAAGAUUCUAAAUUGACCCUGUGUGGGUAUAUGCAUGAGCGGACACUGCUAAGGACUGACGCCCCAUCCAGAAUUGGUUCCAACAUGGCCCCUGAUGAUGCUGGGAUAACCUGUGACCUAGAUUUAGACUAGGACAGGUUUGAGAAUGUUAUGUAAUGCUGUUAUAGUAAUGUUUAAUUGAGGCACAUUCUCUAAACCGUGUAAGGGAAUGUGUAGAUAAAUGGAUAACAUAUUGACCUAAAGUGUUUCUCAUGGCACUGUUAUUAAAUUCAGCUAUUAAUAUAGAUUAUUUAUUGUUGUAACCUAUGCUGCUUCUUGUGCUAUAUGCCUGAACGACAUGAUUUGCUGUUCUGUUCACUGCAUCCUGCUGUGAAUGGUUUGAGGGUCAUGUACACAAUAAUAUUGCAUGGAACUGGAAUGAAAAGUGCAGAUUUUAAGUUAAAAACAAAAAUUAUGAUCUAAUUUAAUGCCUUCCUUUGUUAAAAAUGUCUACCAAAUUAGAAAAUAAAAAUUGUUUAUGGUAGUGGAUGAGAAAACUUCUAUCAUGAAAGGGAAAAGGCAGAGACCGAAACAUAAUGGGACACUAGUUCAUCAGAGGGUGCUCACAAUCUUGAGUAAGGCCCAAUUAAACUGAAAGCAUUUAUUCAGAAUGAGGAACACAAGUUGCCUAUGCAAUGUAAAGAGCAUCAUGGCUGUAGUUUAGUCUGGGGUUUGAGAACUAUAAGGCAUCAAGGAUACUUUUAAAUACACCAGUAAGAACUAAAGGCGAAUCUGUUAAUCAAUAUGUUUAAAAAAAGAAUAAAUAUAAGAAUGUAAUGAAUGAAGAAAAUAUUACCCAUUAAAGCUUUUACAUGGAUGUUUAAUCUGCCACAUUGACUCUAGCAAUACUGAUGUGCCUUGAGCAGUUCUAAUUUCCCAGAUACCACUGAUUCUAUGGCAUUAUUGGCUUUCUGUAUUGAAGAAGAAACAACACUGUGUGUAGUUGUGGUUAUUUUACCUGACAGUUGCCUACCUCAAGUAAAAUUAAUUUUAAAAAAUUACAAGAGGUGUCAUCCUUCAGCUAAUGUGUAUUUCCUUUUUUGUGCCUUUAACACUUAAGUUGUCUUUCCAAGUUGUUUAAACCCUCAAAAGUAGUAAUAAAGUCAAGUCUUCUGAUGUCCUUCAGCUGGAGUAGUUAAGGUGGAAAUGUCUUUUCCUACCCAAGGGAUGUAGGAAUGUUGAACAAACUGUCAUCAUCAAUCGCUUGCUUUCACUUUUUUGGGGUAUUAAAAUAAAUUAUUCAAAUUACUGCAUCAGAUGUAAGAAAUCCUGCUAUUUAUUCUCUAAUUGUUUAUUCUAAUUUAUUCUCUAUUUGUUUUUUCAGUGUACUGUGGUUUAAUCACACAUCCCAAAGAUGUGUUUUUCAAAUUAAUUAGUGGCUAUAUGAUGACUCGGUAUGAGCGAGUGAAUCUGUGUGUGAGAAAGUCAGGAGGGGAACAUUACCAAAAAUCUGUUUAAAGUCGCCAAAUCGAAAGGUCUAGAAGAUAAUCCAAGUCAAGGCAACAUUAGUCAAAACAAAAUUUAAAAAAACUUUUGCUUUUGAGUCCAUUUAUUAGAAAACAAAGUGCAGAUGUUUUCUAAGUUCACAGUUUACUCUUUCAAAUGAUCUAAUAAUCAAUGGCACUGUGGAAACCUGAUUUAAUGUCAAAAACAGAUAAUUCAGAAAAAGUAAAAAAACAAGAAUAAAAAAGAAAAAGAAAAAACUAACAUUUUAUUUUUUUACUGAAUCUUGAUAAAAUGAGUUGUAAAAGAGGAAUGUUUUGUCUUGCUCUCUCGUUAUCUCUAAUCUAUUCAGACAAACCUGUUUUAAACUCAAGGCAAACAUUUUAUGCUUACAAAAAUUUUGGGAAUAUUGGGUAUAGAAGAGUGAUAAUGUUUGCUCCAUAACAAGAUGGUUACCAUGCUAUACUUGAUCAGACUGCCUGUCGAGAGCAUGGAUUUCAUCCAUCCGAAGCCUUUCAAUGUAUUUGUACAUUCAGCCAUGCACAGCAGGUUAGCUGAGGAUUCUAAAUGUUUGGAUCACUGCUUUGUACCUGUUCGCAAAACAUAUGUCAACUUUUAAUACCACAUUUUUGUUAUUUAUUGUUAUGUUUUUGAUAUGUGUUCAGAAAAAACAUAGUGGCUGUUCAUAUCUGUGCUAUGUAAUUUAUAAAUCUCUUGUUCAUUUCUGUGUUUC